GCACGCGCACGCGCACGCCAGGGUUCAUAAGCAGCAAACAGCCAAAAAAUAAUCCUUUCGAUCAGCGAGCAACGCACUGAGCUCCACGGAGAAAGGGAAAAACUCAUUGGAAGAGGAGACCAAAGAGACUACCGAUUAAGAACCUGAACAAAGGGCUAAAGGAAAAAACUCUUCGGAGGAGGAGACUAAAGAGACUACAGGUUUUUCAGCUUGAUUGUUUCGCUCAUUAAACACCUGAAGAGUGGAAUCCCAGUCUGGUCAAGUCCUAAAGUGUGGAAACCCAUGACGUUAAAAUACACUU